CCCAAGGAAAGCGUGGGCGCCGGGACAGCUCUGCUCUGCAGCAACAGGGAGGGAUUCGGUGUUGUGGCACAGUGCCUGCGCCUCUCUUGGCCUGCAGUCAUUAAUCAGGUGGCCAGACACAGCCUCGAUUGCUGAAGGCGCAAAGUCAUGGCCCCUCCAAGGUCAUUCAAGGCUCUGGAAAGUGAGUCAACUGAUAGCGUGCAGCAGCUCAUGGCUUAUUAGGCAGCAACACUGUGCACACCCCAGAGCUUCCAUUUUCCAACCCAGCCAGUGGGAAGUGUGUUCUCGAAGCCACAAAGAACCCACGCAGAGAGCGCCGCAGAGCAGAAGGAAACCAGCGGGUAGCAGAGAUAACUGCGUCCAGAGAGGGAGUGGGAUCUGCCCAGAGCUGCCCAGCAGACCAGCAGAACCCAGUUUGAGAAUGUCAUGUUUUGAUCAUCCCCUCUGCGGGCCCCCACACAACACACGCCCACUGGCCUUAGGUGUCCCAGGAGGGGCCCUGGAUGUGGCUGCUGCUUUACCUCGAAUGUAGAGACGCUCAGUAGGAGUGGACAAUAGACUCGGGGAGGCAAGAUAAACUGCACAUCAAUUAUGAUACCCACUUUCCUGUCCAUGCGGAGCUCCCAGAGUAUGGACCUGGACAUCUCACAGCCUGCCAAAGCUGACUGGGCUAAGGAUGGACAUGUGACCCCACAGACCAAUCACAGUCUUUCUUCUGGGAAUCUGGAAUUGAAAUGACAACCACAGAGAUCAGUGGUUAUUUGGAGUUGAGGCACAUGGAGGUGGACACUGCAGGGUGAUGUUCUACCAACUCCUUCUUCUGAGGUCUCCAGAGCUACUUAGGCCUGGAGGUUCUGCUCCUCCAUUAAUUCUGUAGAUGCCCCAGGAUCU
ensembl:lncRNA